AUACAUCGAACAAGCCUCCUAAGAAGCCACAGAUUUGUUAUCUCUAUAGGCUUGGUAAGAAUGCCAAGAAUCACAGAUCACUAACAAAAUAUCGGAUGAGUCUUGCAAUGACCAAUGAUGGCACUGCACUCAAGUGCCAUAAAUCAAAAGGGCCUCCCAAGAGGCCUUCGGCUUAUUACCAAAAGGGCCAAUGAAAGACUUAGUUGAACUAGGCUCAGAUGGGAGGAAGCACACCUGCCAUGAUCAUCCAGAUGCUAGCUAUUUAAAAAACACAACCAAUUAAAGACCCAGAGGGCCAAACUACCUAUUUCUUCAGGAAAAGGGAACAACACAUUGAGAUGAGGAGUAAACGUUUGACCAACUGACCAAAGAUCUAGAAGGCAAAACUAUCUACCUAUUUAGGAAAGGGGAAUAAGGCGUUGGGAUGAGAAGUGACAUAUGACUAACUAACCAAAGACUAAGAAGAUCAAACUACCUGCCUCUUUAGAAAAGAAGAACAAGGCAUCAAGAUCAGGAGCCGAGCUUUGACCAAACAACUAAAGAUCUGGAGGGCCAAACAAAUCCACUUCUUCAAGCAGGAGAAUAAGGCACUGAGGUAGGAAAUCAAGCUAUAAGUAGCAAUGGAGUAGACAUGAUCGAGUGAUGAGUGGGGGCAAAGAUUUGAGCUUACCACAAAUAUGAC
rnacentral:lncRNA from 1 species